AGCUUUGCACAGCAGCAGUGUUGCAGCCAAUGAGAUUUAUCCGAGGUGUGAUUAUCGCUAAUUGAAAACUUUUCCCAAUACCCUGCCAUGAUGACUUGCAAUAUAGUCGGCAUUGGCAAUGUUUGACAGUCUCUGUACAGA
rnacentral:snRNA from 1 species